CCUACGGGACGCAGCAGUAGGGAAUCUUCCACAAUGGACGAAAGUCUGAUGGAGCAACGCCGCGUGAGUGAAGAAGGGUUUCGGCUCGGAAAGCUCUGUUGGUAGGGAAGGAAGAUAGAGGUAGUAACUGGCCUUUAUUUGACGGUAAUUACUUAGAAAGUCACGGCUAAAUACGUGCCAGCAGCCGCGGUAAUACGUAGGUGGCAAGCGUUGGCCGGAUUUAUUGGGCGUAAAGCGCGUGCAGGCGGUU
rnacentral:rRNA from 1 species